UGGGGAAUUUUGGACAAUGGGCGCAAGCCUGAUCCAGCCAUGCCGCGUGAGUGAAGAAGGCCUUCGGGUUGUAAAGCUCUUUCGGCGGGGACGAAAUGGCGCGGGCGAAUAUCCCGCGUCGAUGACGGUACCCGAAGAAGAAGCACCGGCUAACUACGUGCCAGCAGCCGCGGUAAUACGUAGGGUGCGAGCGUUAAUCGGAAUUACUGGGCGUAAAGCGUGCGCAGGCGGUCUCGCAAGUCCGAUGUGAAAUCCCCGGGCUCAACCUGGGAACUGCGUUGGAAACUACGAGGCUGGAGUACGGCAGAGGGGGGUGGAAUUCCACGUGUAGCAGUGAAAUGCGUAGAUAUGUGGAGGAACACCGAUGGCGAAGGCAGCCCCCUGGGCUAGUACUGACGCUCAUGCACGAAAGCGUGGGGAGCAAACAGGAUUAGAUACCCCGGUAGUCC
rnacentral:rRNA from 1 species